UGGGGAAUUUUGCACAAUGGGGGAAACCCUGAUGCAGCGACGCCGCGUGAUUUAGAAGGCCUUCGGGUUGUAAAAAUCUUUUCUAUGGGAAGAAAAUGACAGUACCAUAGGAAUAAGGACCGGCUAAUUACGUGCCAGCAGCCGCGGUAAUACGUAAGGUCCGAGCGUUAUCCGAAAUCAUUGGGCGUAAAGGGUACGUAGGCGGGUAAGCAAGUUAGAAGUGAAAUCCUAUAGCUCAACUAUAGUAAGCUUUUAAAACUGCUCAUCUUGAGGUAUGGAAGGGAAAGUGGAAUUCCUAGUGUAGCGGUGAAAUGCGCAGAUAUUAGGAGGAAUACCGGUGGCGAAGGCGACUUUCUGGCCAUAACCUGACGCUGAGGUACGAAAGCGUGGGUAGCAAACAGG
rnacentral:rRNA from 1 species